ACAGCUUUCAGUUGCUAAAAUUACGUGGAAUCGAGUGCACGUCUAAUUAUCUUCCGUUUAAAUAAUAGACUUUGUUCAUACGGAGUAUUUUAAUUGAAGUUUGUUUUAAAUGAGUGCUUGUAAAACUACCUAUGUACAUUCACGGAAAUUCACAUUCAAGGCAUCGAAGGAUGAAGAAGGAUACCGACUAACUCUUAAUCAGGAUAAAAUAAAAUGGGUCAGUGUGAAGGAGCUACAACAACAACUGUGUCUAUUAUACACACAUAUGUAUUACGAAGUAUGUGACUCAUCAUGGAACAUUCCUUAGAAUAUUAUACCACAACUCCGGGCACCGUAUGCCGUAAGGCAUCGAUCGUUGCAGUCCUGUUUCACUCCACAACAUAACAGCGUCUGAAUGAAACAUGAAAAUGCCUUUUCCCGAAUGGAUGCAGAGGAAUCUGUUGCCUAUUACUAAAGAAAGGAUUCAUAGUAACUACUUGUAGGAGCAGUCAGUGAUAGCAUGGAAGUCAACAACAAGUGAGGACAUAAGGACCACUAGGACAUCAAGGGACGAUUCUACCAAAAUCCAUUCCACUAAUCUCGGUCCAAUCAAGGGAAGAGGCACUAUCAACACAUCAAGGGAUAGAUCAGCAAAGUCAAUUCCAAUAAUUUCGACCCAGUCGAGGCAAGAGGCACAUCAAGGAAAUGUAGUAGGACCAGUCUGUCAGUGAUGGAUCUCGAAGCCAAAAA